rnacentral:rRNA from 1 species
GUCGAGAGGCUUCGGCAAUGGGGGCAACCCUGACCGAGCGACGCCGCGUGGAGGAUGAAGGCCCUUGGGUUGUAAACUCCUUUUGUUAGGGAAGAAAUGCGAUCAGGUUAAUAAUCUGGUCGUUUGACGGUACCUGACGAAUAAGCUCCGGCUAACUCCGUGCCAGCAGCCGCGGUAACACGGGGGGAGCAAGCGUUGUUCGGAAUCACUGGGCGUAAAGGGCGUGUAGGCGGUCAGGUAAGUGGGACGUGAAAUGCCUCGGCUCACCCGAGGAGCGGCGUCCCAAACUGCUUGGCUUGAGUAUGGGAGAGGAUGUGGGAAUUCCUGGUGUAGCGGUGAAAUGCGUAGAUAUCAGGAGGAACACCGGUGGCGAAGGCGCACAUCUGGCCCAAUACUGACGCUGAGGCGCGAAAGCUAGGGGAGCAAACGGGAUUAGAAACCCUAGUAGUCC